UCACUAUCUAAAUUCAACAUGACAAGUGCAGCUCUGAACAAACAGGGUGAGAAAAGAUAAGGGUGACAAUGCUAUCACAUGGUGAGGCGCUGCAGAGUAGCCAUCUGUAAAAGGAAUUGACAAGGUUAUGCUGCACUCUUGUAAGUGAUCCCUGAGUCCGAAACUGGCUGUCUCUAUCGAGACUGGACAGGGAGCAGACUGGAAGCAAAUCUCUGUGUGGGUGCUCAUUCGGUCAUUCCUGUGCUACACUCACGAUGUGCGUAUAAGCAGCUUGAUGCAGAUCCUUCCUGAAUGAGGGCACUAGGGACCAUGGCAUGAGAAUGCUAUUGCAAGAAGACAUUAACUCAUCCUCACAAGUUGCUUGUAAGGGACAGGCUCCUUCUGUUUAUAAUCAUGCCAUUUGCAUGCGGAUCCCUCGAAUUGCUUUUAGCAAAGACCCUCCACAGAAUCCCAAGAAGCUGUUUUAUUGCAACCUGCCUGAGGAUUCCGGAGGGAAUGUCAUUACUUGGGUUGAUUUCCUCCCCCCAAAUUACCUGCAAGAGGGAGAGUGCUCAUUCCUGAACCAACUGCCGGAAACACAGGAUCACACUGGGAAGCUACAGUAAUGCAAUGCUCCUUAAAACAAAGCCCUGAACAUAUUUUUACACAACCCACCCUUGAAUGCAGUCCCGGCGGCUACAAAGCUGCCCAUCUUUUCUCUAGCAACUUGUGGUUCACCACAGCCUUUGUAACGUUGGCAGAGUAGGAGCAAAUACUCGAUCAUUUCUGCUUUAUUCUCUUUAGCCACAAAACCCAGCUCCCAAAGCGCAGUGCUGUUUUUAAUAAUGACAUCUUGAGCGCCUUUCAGAGCCUGUCUGAAAGAAAAUACAGGCCUUUAAUAAGUUAUUUUAAUGCCCUUAACUCUGGAGAAAAGGAAGCAGGGGGACAUACAUCUCUGCAAAAGUUUCAGAGUCUGGAAGAAUCUGAUUCAGAAACAAAAGCCUUUUGAAUCUCUCUUGAUUCCCCCCCCCCAUUCCUGAUCUUCCCCUCUCUUUCUUCCUUCCUUCACGUUCCCCCCUCCCCUGCUGAGCAGUAACAGUGCCAACUUAUCAGAUACGUUUAGCUGCCAGCUUCCCAGAUCCUUUCCUUUGAAUGUGACCUGGCAGCAGCUUGGUGGAACUUUUCAACUGCUAUAUGUGUCAUAUGCUAUGAAGAAGAAGAAGAAAAACGGAAGUAUAAUGACUACUGGAAUACAUGAUUCAUGGCAAAGUCAAGAGUGGGGGAAUGCGAGGCAAUUUAUUUUAACCCGUAAGGCAACUAACUAUCCAACAGGAGACGGAGAUGGGGAAACAAGCAUUGUAAUAUUUUGCCUUCAUCUGAGGAUCUCAAUCCCCUUAUAAUCAGCUAUGAAUUAAGGCUCAUGACAGCCCCUUGGCAAUGGCUUGAGAAAAAGCUAGGCAGGGGGAGUGAAAAUGAAGGGGCCCUGAAGCAAUAUGGAUAGCAAGCGGGCUGUCUAAAAUGGGUGGCAGGACAGUGGUUACACCUGUGCCACAAUGGUUGUGUCAUUCAAUCAGUCUGACACGGGGGAAAUGAAGCACAUAGCCGUUAAGUGACUUGUCCAUAGUAAGACGACAAGUCAGUAGUAGAUUUGAGAUUAGGAACCAGGUAUCUUGACUUCCAGUCUUCUGCUUUAACCACUAGAUGAUACUGCCUGUCUUUAAAAUAAAAAUCCCCAGCGUAGAAACAUGCAGCUUCACCUCCGUGAGUGCCUGUUCAGGAAAUGGUCUGUUCUAAUACAUCUGAUUACUAUAAAACAAUGACCAUCCUGUGUGUCGUUGUAAACAUUUUUUUAAAAAAAGGGGAAAGUAUGACUCAGAACACUGGUCCUCCUCCCAGCACUGCCACUGUCUCACUGAGGCCAGUCACCUAUCCCGCUUUGUGCCUUAGUUUACCCCUCUGUAAACCAGAUAUAGUAAUCAUUUUUCAUUAUUAAGUACCUGGAGGAAAGUCUCAGGCGCAAAUAAAGACAGCCCUUGCCCUGAGGAGUUUGCUGGUCCUCAGCUGCCCCAUUAGCAAUGUCAGGAGACUUAAUGAAUUACUUUUGCCAAGUGCUUUGAGACCGGGGUUGACAGGCACUAUAGAAAUGUAAAAUAUAAUGAUUAAUUGCCUUUUCUUGGUGGGAAGUUGGUUCACUUUGCACCAAGAGAGGUGCCAUCCUCUCUUCACUUUCUGUGACUGGCAAACCAGAGGGAGUGUUUAACUUUAAAAAAAAAAAAACCCAACAUCUUUACAAAGUAACAAAUUAAGAUGCAAAUCUGGAGGGGGGGGGGUUGGGGUUUUUUUUUUUUUUUUUGCUAAUUGGCAGAAAAUUAAUGAACGUGUAGCUGACUGAGCAGAUGCUCUCAUCAAAAAAGGCAGAUUUGGAGUUUCUCUAACCCUCCUUUUUGAAAACACAUCAAGAAGGCAGUAGCAUGUGGCAGGUCAGGAAUUAAGCGAAGGUAACUGUACAGAUUGUAAAGAACACAAAGGAGGGUUUUAUGCGUGUGUGUGUGUUUUUUUCUUCUCUCUCUUUUGUUUUAACUUCCUUGCAUUGGAUUUUAUUUUAUUUUUUUAAAACCCAUAUUCCUCUGCAGCUCAUAAUUAGCAGCCAGGCCUCUGGGACCUAAUUAACCAAUUCAAUUAACAAAAAAAGCAUACAAGUCACCCUGACAUUUGUCAGCCAUUAGGAGGGAUGUGAGUCUGGCUGGUUCUGCCGACAUACUAAUGAUGAUUAGCUCAUUUGCAGCUCACUUUUACCCUAGGUGUCCACCUGGAGAGACUGGCACAAAAUGCUCUUCAGAGAGAGAGGGGUUGGGGCUGGAGCUGGGACUGGGAAGAACAUGGCCAUGACCCUCAAAGGGAGUUAUGACCUUUUAUUGAACGUACAAUCAAUAUGUUUUUGCCUCAGUUAAGAGAAGCUGCUGUCCCCUCCACCAGCUUCUAUGCUUGCUAACCUUCAGAAGAGCACUAGCCCGGAGAGCCGGGGUCCCAUACUUGCCUCAGGGGCUAAAAUCCCUUGUUUUCAACUCCUUCGAUGGGAGAGGCCUUUCUUUUCCUUGUCGAUAGCACUCUUUGCUUGCUUACCACAGCAGGGCUCCUUCGCUUGGCUGGGCUGUUUCUUAGUUCAAGCCAAGCUCUUUGUUCUUGGGAUUGAUUAACUACAGCACUCUAUAUAAUAUAGGCAGAUAUUUAUAUAGGCGUCGCUCCCGUCCCUGCUUCUGAUCUUUCUUAAUUUAACUCCAUUUCCCCAACAGCUCUGGUUUGGUAACAAGCGGCUGAUUACGAUGGAAGUGAAACCCCAGAAAAAUACGGGGCCGAAGUGCUGACAGGUUGAGGGGGCAUGUGCCAGUUGCUUUUUAACACCCAAGAGCAACUUCCCCUUUCCCAUUUAGGGGGGAUGUCACUGCCCGAUUUCAGUCUCUCUAGAUAUUUGCGUAGUGCUUGUCAUCCGAGUGUGCGCCAGAUCCAGCUGCUGUUGAAAUCAAUGGAAAGACGCCCAUGGAUUCAACGGGAUCAGGCCCUUGCAGCGCUUUGUCCAGAGGAGUGAAAUUCCCUAAUGCUAUAAAGACUUCAGGAGAGGCACUGUGGGUGUAGGCAUGGGGGCGGGGGGCAGCUAUGGACUGGGAUUGUAUGCAGUGGAGAGGUGUUUUGCACCAAAUCCAGCCUGGUGGGAGUUUUUGGCAGGAUAAGAGCAUGGUCCAAUGACUUAGGCCCCGGGUUGCAAGCUAGCCAGCAUGGGUACUAUUCCCAGUUCUGCUGCUGACCUACUGUGGAAAGUCACUGCACCUGUUUCCCCUCCUACCUGUUGUUUAGUUAGACUGCAAGCUCUUCAGGCCAGGGACUUUCUGUGCCCAUGAGUAGUGGGGCUUUGUUCUUGGUCGGCCCCCUGGGUGUUAUUGUAAAUCAUACCAUAAUAAUGGCUAGUGCUUAUGCUGAUCCAGUGGUCACAAUCUCCACUGCAGGGUUUACACAGGGGUCAUGGCAACUAUUUCCCUCAGUACAUCUGGAGGGGCUGUGGAGCUGACCCUGCCCUCAGUAGCGCUGAUCCCCGCACCCGUUUAUAGAUCUCUACACAAUCCAUUUGCCUGGAAUCUUCCACGAGCUUGGGUCUGUGCAUUUCAUUCUCCUUACCUAUUAUUCUGGUCUAUAAUAGUUGUCUACCUGCCCCAAGAAAUGGCAACUUUGCAGAUCACUGAUGGAUAUGCAUAAGUAGGGUUUCAGCCUGGGUUGAUGUUUCUAGCAGGUUUUCUGCUGAUGGGAUAAACUGUCACCUCUCUGUAUCCAGAGAUGAGAACAACAGCAAAGUAAGGAUUGAAAGACACAAGGAAUGACUUUUUACUGGAGCAGAAAGCAUCCUGUAUUUUAAAGGGAUCCGGAAACUGUCCUUAAUUUGAAGUCAUCUUCAUUCCAGGACUAGUCCCUAGAAGAGGCGACAGUGAGUGGAUGCACUAUUCAGACUAAGCCCCAUCAACCAGAACUUCAGUGCCCUGUGCAGCUUGGAUUAAUUGACUGCCCCGACACUGACCAGUGGCUCUCACACAGGGUCCAGUGGUGAUGGCUUAGUCACCGUUGAGAAUGCUGAGAACUGAAUAACACCCCUACCUGCCCCGGCAUCUAGAGUAAUGCAGCGUCACUGCUCUGAUGUACACAAUGCCUCCGAGGAAGGAAUCUUGUGCCUCUGCCAGCCAGCCAAACAGCACCCGGAGGCUGUUGGCUCGGCCAUGGAAGUAAUGCUGUAAAUUGAACCCUGCCAUCUUGUGGCAGUUUGGCAAGAGACAGCAAGAAGAAAAGCCGGUCAGGUGGCCAUGCUGCUCCAAGGCUUGCAGACUUUAAAGAGGCUUCCAAAGGAUGAUUAUUGUCUUGAAAAUGAGUAUAGCACCGCUGCCAAUUUGUGGUCCCAGUGGCUGUCACUAUGUUGCGCACCAUGGCCAGUUUCACAGUGACAGUGGGAAUAGAACUUGCAUCCUCCUCCUCCGAAAGGUCAAACACCUAUUAUUGUGGUUGGAAGAGACUCUCCAUUAGCUUUGGAGACAAUGACAUACAGUUGAGCUGCUUUAAUUAUAUCCACUAGCGGGCUGUGUGCACUAGACGGUAUAUUACAGUCUUGCUACUUUUUAUCCCUAGCAACUAUUUCCCCUUUGAACUUUCUGAACUGUUUUGGGAAAUGGCUUACCCUGAUUUGGUUUUGAGUCUUCAUUGACUAUCCACCCUCGACCCGAAAGAGACAGUUUCAUUGGCUAUGGCUUAGAUUGGUAAGCACUUACUUGCAUACGUAUGUGCUGCUCGUGCUCAUUAAAGCAUUCACAAUCUG